UACUCAGUCGUUAACCAAGAUAAUUUUACCAUACCAUCAUCUGCCCGAGAACUACAAGUGAAAAACUUUAAACUCAAAGGACUUGACGGUGCCCCAUACCAGCCUAGAGGAGCCUGUCCUUUAAUCGACAACCCACGCUUCACCUUACCCUCCCUCGCCCCCCAGCCUAUAUACCGCCGUCGCCAGCCCACCUACUGAUAGUAACAAUAGUCGGCACGAUAGCACACCGCUAGCACGUCAGGUCAAGGUGUAGCCAAUGGGAGGGCCUGAGAUGGGCUACAUUUGCUGUCCCCCAGCAAAAACCGCAAGCCACAUGAAACAUGGGCCAACAGGCGGAUUUAGUAGUAAAUUCCAGGCAAGAACUGCCCAAUUGAACCCCGCUC
rnacentral:rRNA from 1 species